AACACGACCCACUGGGACAGUUCCAAUACCACCAAUCUUGUACACGUCCUGAAGUGGGAGACGGAGGGGUUUGUCUGAGGGCCUCUUGGGCUCCUGGAUCUGGUCGAGGGCAUCCAGAAGAGUUGGACCCUUGUACCAGUCAAGGUUGGUCGACCUCUCAAUCAUGUUAUCGCCCUCAAAUCCAGAGAUAGGGACAAAGGGAAUCUUGUCAGGGUUGUAACCAACCUUCUUCAAGUAGGAUGACACUUCCUUGACAAUUUCAUCAUACCUUGCCUUUGAGUACUUUGGAGUUGUGGCGUCCAUCUGUUCCAAGAACCCAAGAAUAAAGAUAAGUAGCAAGCCGAAGAUAUCAUCUUAAAUACACGUGACAGGACAGAUCAAUGCAAAAUGAGUAAUAAACUCAACUUGAAAGAAGAGAAUAGAAAUAUACCUUGUUACAGCAGCAGAUCAUUUGCCUCACACCAAGGGUGAAGGCAAGGAGUGCGUGCUCACGGGUCUGGCCAUCCUUGGAGAUACCAGCUUCAAAACCACCAGUGGUGGAAUCAAUGAUAAGCACGGCACAGUCAGCCUGGGAAGUUCCGGUAAUCAUGUUCUUGAUAAAGUCACGAUGUCCAGGGGCAUCAAUGACAGUGCAGUAGUACUUGGUGGUCUCGAACUUCCACAAGGCAAUGUCAAUGGUGAUACCACGCUCGCGCUCAGCCUUGAGCUUGUCGAGCACCCAGGCAUACUUGAAUGACCUCUUGUUCAUCUCAGCAGCUUCCUUCUCGAACCUCUCGAUGACACGCUUGUCAAUACCUCCAAGCUUGUAGAUCAAGUGACCAGUGGUGGUUGAUUUUCCAGAGUCAACAUGGCCAAUGACCACGAUGUUGAUGUGAGUCUUCUCUUUACCCAUUAUGAAAUCUUAGUUUUGAGCUGCCAUACAUAAAAAUCUAAAAUUUAAAAACAAAAUACUAGGACACUAAAAAUCACUUCUUAAACAUUCAACUAGAUCUAGUUGAAGUGUCCAGAACAAUAACAAAUCCACCAUGGUAUGUCCAAUCCAACUUCAAUACAUCACGAUUUCUGAUAUAUUCUAACACAGCAUAACAUUCUUUUCUAACAUAAAAAAUCACGUACAAAAGAUAAUCUGUAUAAAUAUUCAAUAUGAUUAAUCUAUCUAGUUACAUCAUUAUCAGUUAAUUUGAGUGGCAAUUCUUACAUUCAGAUUAAUCACAAUAAUAUCAAAUCAACAACUUGACAGAACAUAGAAUAAGUUUAAGAGUUCUUUUCAGUACCAAAACCAACAAAGACGAAAUCAAAACAAUAUAAUUUACUAUCUUAUUAUAUCUGUAUAAUAAUUUAAAAAAAAGCUUCCACUGCAAAAACAAAAUAAUCUAAAAGACAUGUGCAUACAAAUCUUUAAAGAAGGUAAAAAGGCACUAAAAAACUAGACCCAAGGCUUGCUCUCAAAACAAAAUUGGAUUAAAAGCUAAUAAAUCUGAUUGAAAUCACAAAGCAAUCAAAGACUUCAUACGAAUAAGAAUAAGAAGAAUACCAGUCAUUAACUAGAUAACCACAGUGAUUUACAAUUAGAGAUAAAGACAGGAGUGAAACGAAGAGGCGAUAGUGAAUCGAACCUGUUAAACUCUAGCCGCGAGCGAGGAGGAGGGAAUGACGGACUUCUUGAUAGGGUUUGUGGAUAUAUUUAUAUCACCCUGCUGGUAUUUUGGUUUCCUAAAACGUCCUCAUUUUGAGGUUAGCACCGCCAUCAUGUCCUCAUACCUACUCCGUUUUUUAUACGGAAUCCGCGUGCUUACUUGGUGAUCAAGGACAUUAAACUGUUUUUAAAUGAAAUGAAAUUGGGUCCCUUUUUUAUUCCUCUGAAGGUUGCCAAGUCACUUCCCGCUGUGGGAGAAUUCAUGAUAAUAAAUAACUAAAUAAAAUGACUAAAAAGAGUAGCUCCAAAUAAAUCAACUCUAAACAAAGCAACUAAAAGCAACGACUUUGAAAUGUUCCCGUUAUUUUUAUAAUUUCAACAGAGUACUUGUUUUUGAAGACUAUUUAUAUAUAUACGUUUAUCAAAAAAGAUAAAAUGUAUUUAAUAUAUUUUUAUGCAUAAAAAAGAUUUAAUAAAUAGUAAUAUUAAUAUCAAAUGUGUUAAGAUACAAUUGACUUUUUUAAAUAAUUUUUUUCUAUUGAAGUAUGAUAUGAAAAAAUACUAUAUUUACAUUAUUUAAAAAACUAUAUUUCCAAUUUGACUUUAACAAAUAGUUUUUUAAAUAAUAUAUAUUUUAAAGUUGACUUUUUCACAAGCCAGAAAUUUUUAUAUUUUUUUAAAACUCUCCGAUUCUAAAAACUUAAAAAAAUUAUUAUUUUAAUAUUAAAAAUAAAUUUUAAAAAAUAAAAUAUACAUUUUAUUUUAAUAUAUUUCUAAUAAAAAAAAACCCCUACCCGAUGAUGGUCUAUAAAUGUUUAGUCUAUAUUUUAGUGAAAUGCCUUGAUGAAUCAAAAUGACAAAGCCCAAAUUUAACAGAACAUGAAAGACAACGCUUAAUAGAAACAAGAACUGGUGCUUCACAACGAAGACCAUUACAGCUACCAGUAUUGGCCCAAGGUAAAUUAAAUUGACGACAAGAGGCAGCUCAUUCAAAACAGUACAAAAUACAAGAAAGAGAUCGACAAGUUUACGACAACUGAAUAUGAGGAGACAGAAAGGAAAGGGUAUAAAACUAGAAAGUAGGCUGAAUAUAUGAGCAGGCGGGCAGACAACUAAAGUAAAUUCAACGCCCAUAAACAAAAACAUGACAUGGAGUUCUUAGCGUCCAAAUGCUCGAGACCUAAAUUUCACGAGCCGAUAAUGAAUCUAGAAACAUAAUACAAUCUCCAAAAUUUUAGAACAAGAUUCCACAAAAUAAAACUACAAUUCUCACGACAGAUAGCUCAGGGACAAUUAACAAGAAACAAAGCAGUAAUUGCACAACACAAUGAUUACUUGGCACCCUUCUUGGCAGCAGAUUUGGUCACCUUAGCACCAGAGGGAUCCUUCUUCUCCACGUUCUUGAUGACUCCCACAGCAACAGUCUGGCGCAUGUCCCUCACAGCAAAACGACCAAGUGGAGGAUACGCUGAGAAAGUCUCCACCACCAUGGGCUUGGUGGGAAUCAUCUUAAUCAUACCAGCAUCACCGUUCUUCAGGAACUUGGGCUCCUUCUCCAGUUCCUUACCAGACCGCCUGUCAAUCUUGGUGAGGAUCUCAGCAAACUUCACAGCAAUGUGACAGGUGUGGCAGUCAAGGACAGGGGCGUAACCGUUUCCAAUCUGUCCAGGAUGGUUCAUGAUGAUAACUUGGGAGGUGAAGUUAGCAGCUUCCCUGGCAGGAUCGUCCUUGGAGUUUGAGGCCACAAAACCACGCUUCAGAUCCUUAACAGCAACAUUCUUAACAUUGAACCCGACAUUGUCACCAGGAAGAGCCUCUUGGAGAGCCUCGUGGUGCAUCUCAACAGACUUGACUUCAGUACUCAGUCCAGUUGGACCGAAUGUGACAACCAUGCCGGGCUUGAUGACACCAGUUUCAACACGACCCACCGGGACGGUUCCGAUACCACCAAUCUUGUACACGUCCUGAAGUGGGAGACGGAGGGGCUUGUCUGACGGCCUCUUGGGCUCCUGGAUCUGGUCGAGGGCAUCUAGGAGUGUUGGGCCCUUGUACCAGUCAAGGUUGGUGGACCUCUCAAUCAUGUUGUCACCCUCAAAUCCAGAGAUUGGGACAAAGGGAAUCUUGUCAGGGUUGUAACCGACCUUCUUCAAGUAGGAGGACACUUCCUUGACAAUUUCAUCAUACCUUCCCUUGGAGUAUUUUGGAGUGGUAGCAUCCAUCUUUUCCAAAAAGAACCAGCAAGCAUCAGUAGAAAGCAAAAAACAACUUAACUACAAGCCAGCAACAGGUAAGAAUUCUAUGAAAUAUUAACCACCCAGUUAGCUUGAAGGAAUAAAAAAUAAAUAUACCUUAUUACAACAGCAUAUCAUUUGCUUCACACCGAGGGUAAAAGCAAGAAGAGCGUGCUCACGGGUCUGGCCAUCCUUGGAGAUACCAGCUUCAAAACCACCAGUGGUGGAAUCAAUGAUAAGCACGGCACAGUCAGCCUGGGAAGUUCCGGUAAUCAUGUUCUUGAUAAAGUCACGAUGUCCAGGGGCAUCAAUGACAGUGCAGUAGUACCUGGUGGUCUCAAACUUCCACAAGGCAAUAUCAAUGGUAAUUCCACGCUCGCGCUCAGCCUUGAGCUUGUCGAGCACCCAGGCAUACUUGAAUGACCUCUUGUUCAUCUCAGCAGCUUCCUUCUCGAACCUCUCGAUGACACGCUUGUCAAUACCUCCAAGCUUAUAAAUCAAGUGGCCAGUGGUGGUCGACUUUCCAGAGUCAACAUGGCCAAUGACCACGAUGUUGAUGUGAGUCUUCUCUUUACCCAUUAUGAAAUCUUAGUUUUGAGCUGUCGUGCAUAAAAGUCAAAAAUUUAAAAACAAAAUACUGGGACACUAAAAAUCACUUCUUAAACAUUCAACUAGAUCUAGUUGAAGUGUCCAGAACAAUAUCUUAGAGCUGGACUGUUACACGCAAAAUGAACAAAAUUAAAACAAUAAUUGUAGAAGGAAGUUAUCCACAGAAAACAAAAUUGUAUAUGGCAUGAUUUCUGCUCCAAGCAGACAAAAAUAAAAAGUCUCAAGAGCAAGAGCUUAGCACUUGUACAGUUGGACAACAAAUCAAUACAAAAUUGAUGUUUGAGAAACCAUCACUACAGAAAACGAAAAACUAGUUCAUUUUAGGGCAGGGUAUGAUUCUAAUGGUAAGUUAGACAUGGCAGAUGAAAGAUAGUUCCGAUGAAAUUAACGAUAAUUAACUAAUCAGUCUAAUUAUAUUAACUUCAUUUCAUUUCACUGAUGAUUCUUAGGGCCACGCUAAUCACAUUCAUAUCAAUUCAGCAACUAUAAAAUAAACAGUCGAAUAAGAAAUUUAUUACUAAAUACCAACAAAGAGAAACUGUCACUGAAAGUAAACAGUCAAGCAAAGAACACCUAAGCAUUUCAUAAUCAUAUAAAUUAGUAGCUUAUCAAAUCUAUAUAAAAAAAUCAGUGACGAGAUGCUGAAACCAUAUACAUCAAACAUCAAUUAUCAUGUAAUAGAUCUGCGUGUAUAAAUCUUCAAAGCAAACAAAAGGCACGAAGAAAUCAAAGUAAAAAUCUUGCUCGAGAUAGAACAGAUUAAAAGAUAAUUAAACGGCCCAAAAACACAAAUGCUAGACAGAGCAAACUGAUUUACAGUCAAAUUCAAUUAAUGAUGCGAUGUAAACGAGGAAGGGGAGAGAGGCCGACCUGAAGAGAGAUGCUAAAACCCUGGCCGCUGGAAAAGAUAGUAAAGAGAAAGAAAUGUGAGAGUGAGAAGGGAGAUAGGGUUUGUAGGUAUUUAUUCACCUUUCUUUCCUGAAAUGUCCUCGAUCUGAUGUCUGAAUUCCCAUCAUGUCCUCGGAGAUCAAGUCGAUUUUCCCUAGAAAGGGAAAAUAUCUUUUUAGUCCUUAAAAAGUGCUCCGGUGUAAGAAGAGGACGAUGGUUUAGAAUGUUAUAGGAGUUAUUUUUAAAAAUAUUUUUUAUUUUAAAAUAAUAUUUUUUUUAAUUUUUAAAAAUUAGUUUUGAUAUUAACAUAUUAAAAUGAUGUAAAAAUUUAAAAAAAUAUUAAUUAAAAAUAAAAAAUAAAAUAAGUUUUUUAAAAAAAUCCUUUUUGACCAUAGUAUUAAAUAUUUAUAUAAUAGUUAAUUUAAAUUAAUUUUUUAUAUUAUUUUAAUAUGUUAAUAUAAAAAAUAUUUUAAAAUCAAUAUAUACUCCACAUUCCUAACCACCCUAAUUUUUUUAUUAGUAUACAAGUGACCAUCUCACCACCCACGAGUGUGAAAGCCUGGAGGAAAGGAAGGAAAUGCAUGUCAUUUCACCUUCGAUACUAAGUACCUGUUUAGAGUCUGUUUGGUAUUGCGGUAGCUGUUGUGGUUGUGGUUUAAAAAAAGUUGUUUUAUAAAAAGUACUUUUAGUUGAGGUUGGUUUGAAAAAAUAGGUGUUUGGUUAAAACUGUGGUUAAAAUUGAGGUUGAAAAAAAAGUAGUUUAAUGUGUUUGGUUAAGAAUGCUUUUGAAAUUGAGAUUAUAAAAUAAUUUUAAAAUAUAUAUAUUAAUAUUGAUGGUUUUAAAUUUAAAUAUUGUAAAAUUAAUUACUCCUAUUAUAUCAUGAAAAAAAUAAUACUUUAUAUAAAAUAUUUUUUAUUAUUCCAUUAAACUAUUUAUAAUUCUAUUACGUACAAAAUUCAUUCGAUAAAAACUAUAAAAUUGAUAUUACUGUGCGAGUGAAUUUAAUUUACUUUAUACUAGUUUUUCGAGAAAAAAAUAUUGUUUUGUCAAUGAAUUUAACUCUCUAAACUAUAUAUAUAUUUUUUUAAAAAAAUAAAAUUAAAACUAUAAAAAAAAAACAAAAAAAAAAGCCGUGAACAGUGCCAGUGAAUUGCACUGUUCACGUGAACAGUGCAAUUCACUGGUGAACAGUGCAGUGAAUUACACUGUUACUUACUUUUUAUAACGUGCAGAGAAUGAACAGUGCAGUGAAAGCAUGUUUUCGUUGCUUUUCCUUUUCAGUGUUUUAAACGCAAAAAUGGUGUGGGUCCCAUGAACAGUGAAAUGAGUUUUUGUUUUACCAAACGGCUGCGUGCUGCGUUUUACCGCAGCCGCGUAGACAAACGGAGUCUUACUCGUUUGUUUUAAAAAAAUUGUUUUUAUCAAAAGUAGUUUUAAGAUUUUUUUAAUGAUGGAUUAACUCAAAAAAACUAGUUUUCAACAAAAGACAAAAAAAAGAUUCCCCCCCCAAAAAAAAAUAUUUUAUCUUCUUAAUUCUUAAAAACACUUUCUUUUAAGACGCAAAAUAAACCUCAUGCAAGUACACCUUCCACAUAUCUCUCUCUUUCCACAUCCUCGAUACAAAAUAAAUUGUUAAUUAGUAUAAUUAACUAAUUUGGCUUUUUAUCAAUUUUAAAAAAAUAUUUUAAGGUUUUGAAAAUGAGAUUUACUUGAAAAAAAUAUUUAACAAAAUUAUAUGUCUGUGACAUCAUGUUUAAAAUAUCUAUGUAUAUCUAUAUUUUAUAGAACAAGGUAUAUAUAAAUAUAUGAUAUAAUAAUUUUUUUUCUAUUGUUAUACUUUUCAUAACUUUUUUUUUGUGAGUUAUUAAAUAGUUAUAUUUAAUGUUAUGUAAACUUUUUAAAAAAAUUGUAAGUUAUUUUUAACUUAUUUUUUAUAAUAUUCGAAAUUAAUUCAUUUUAUAAUAAUUUAUUUUUUAAUGCAAAUCACUUUUCAUGAUGAAAUUGUUUUCCAGCUAACAAACUAAACGAGUCCAUUCUCUAUAUUAUCGAUUUGAGUUUAAAAACAAUUUAUCGAUCUAUACAUAAAUAUUUUAUGAUCAUGUUUGUUAAUUGUUAUGAUUGAAGGAAGACAAAGGACACGGAUGGAGAUUGAUAUUUAUUUAUUUAAAAAAUUUAAUAUUUUAUUACUAUUCCAGAUCUUAUUGUCCAUGAAUAUUAAUAUUUCUAGCUAUAUUAAAAUUUUAGUAUUUUUUUAUUGAACUAAAACUUGCCAGGUUUCUAUGUUUUAUCUUGUCUGGUGUGUGUGAACGGGGAUAUAGAUAUUAGUUAUUUGAAACAUGGUGAUGUUUAGGGAUGGUUAUUUUUAGUACGGUUUGAUUUUUAUUAAAAAUAAAUAAUUAAACUAAAUUUAAAAAAAAAAUCAAACCGAAAUCGGUUCAAACCGACUAGUUUUGGUUUGGUUUUUUAGGAUAAAAACUUGUUCAAACCAGCUUGGCUCGAUUUGGGUUUAGUUUGGUAUAGUUUUUUUUUGUUUCAGACUUAUAAAAUUGAACUGAUUAUUUUUAAAAAAAAUAAUUGUUUUUUUUAUAAUUUAAUUUUUUUAAUUUUUUGAUUAUUUUACUCAUUCCUAUCACUAGUGAUAUUGAGUGAAAAUAAAUAAAUAAAUAUCCUUCAAGAUUGAGUGUCUCUCUCUCUCUCUUAUGUACAUUCCCCAUGAUCAAAUGUAUCGCCCUUGAUUUUGUCCCUUUAAAAUGAAGCAUGACUCGUGUUGAUGAAUUUUGACUGAAUUGACUUUCUCGCCAGUGAUCUCCUCCUCUUGAUAUACAAAAUAUAAAUUAAUUUAAGUUAUUUUACUAAAAUAUACAAAAAAUCAAAUACUUAACACGAACAAUCCUUAUUGUUUUAUAAUUUUUUUUUAUUUUAUCUCAAUGAUUAAUUUUAGCUGUUGAAAACAGACAAUUUUUGUUUUUAUACAUGCACGAUAUAAAAACAACUUUCAUGUAUACAAUAAAGAUAAAAAAAAAAAUUUAUAAUAAUCUCAUUAAAGUAAAUUAAGAGUUAAAAAAUUUAAUUAUUAUUUUUUAAAAAAUGUUAGCUAGGCAGCUUAAGAAAUAAGAGAGUGUUAAUUAAAAUUUUAAAAAAAAAAAAAUAUGAAAAGUAAAAAGAGAGAGCAUGUCCACGUGCCUAACUAUGUUUUUGAAAGCAGAAGAUGUACAGUGAUGUGUCGCGCAUGAAUAAUUUUUUUAUCAUGGAACUUUUAGAGCAUUCAAAAGUUCUUAACAUGUUUUCACCUUAAAACAUUGAAGAACACCUUAAACAUGUUAAUAAACUCAUUCCUAACUCAAAAUACCAUCCAAACAUUAAAAAAUAAAUACUAAACAAAUAAAAAAAAAUAUCAUCUUUAUUUAUUUUUUAAUUAAUAUAGAUAUCCGGACUAGUUUGUACACAUCUUAACUAAUUUUAUGGGCUCUGAAGUUAACGAUUAUAUAAACCUAAAGUGAUAAUCAUACUAACAACUAUAAUACUCAAACUUGAGAUCAUAAAGAAAACAAACAUUUUGAUCCUAAACUCUUGCAAUUGAGUCAUCUGCUAGAUAGUUACUAGCUCUUUUUUGUUUAAUGGUCAAGGAGCAACAUAGUCUUUAUCAAACUCUUUACAGGAUAAAAAAAAAACCUUAUCAAAAUUGAUUUUUUUAUGGUAUCAUGCAAUCAUCCUUACACACUCUCUCUCUCUCAACAUUUCUAUGUAACUCUCUAUCAUUUCAAAAUCAAGGAGUUGAAACACAAAUAAAAAAAUAAAUUUGGAGAUUAAAAUGUAAAAUUUAAAACAUAAAAUCAUAUCAAUAUAACUUGGACAAUGAAACUAAAACUAAAGUCUGAUAAACAAAAUGAAAAGAGACUAUACCCUAUUCACAUGAACAAAAUAUAAUCCACUAGUCUAGAAGCGCAGUGAACUUCACUAUUUAUUUUUUGUAAUUUUUUUAGUUCAUAGUAUAAUUAUUUCAACUAAUUGAACCUUAGUCUAUAGUAUUAUUGGUUCAACUAGUUGAACAAAUAGCCAUCUUUAUUCUCUGAAAAAGAGUUGGAUAUUCUUUUAUUCAUCUUUUUCAUGUCAUAUUUAAAGGUCUUCAGAAAGUGGAGAUUAUUUUUCAAAGUAUUUUUUAUUUUAAAAUGAUAUAUUUUAUUUGAUUAGUAUAUUAAAAUAAUUUGAAAACAUAAAAAACAUAUUAAUUUAAAAUAAAAAAAUUCUCAUUUUUCUUUUAAAAAAACUUUCGAAAUAGAAUGUUCAUCCAGUCAGAUACAACACCUUCGACCAUAUGAAGGUAAUUAUUUCCACGCCAACUGAUGACACUCCGACACAUGAAAAAGAGAAUACAAUAAGGCAAAUACUACGUCUGAAAACGCGGUUAAAAAAAUGUUCCCUUAAAAUUUAUUUAUUUUUUACUAAAUUUUUUAAUAUUAUUUUAAUAUGUUGAUUAAAAAAAUAAUUUUUAAAUAUUAAAAUAUAUUAUUUUAUUAUAUUUUUAAAUAAUGCAUUUUUAGUUUGGUGCGGUUUUGGACCAAAAUUAACAACCAAACCGAUUUUUUUUUUUAAGUUCUUGAACCGAACCGAAACCGGUUCAAACCGAUUAAUUUCAGUUCGGUUCGGUUUUUUCCCCUUCCAAACCGGUUAAACCGAAAUUAUAAUGCUCAAGCAAAUUUCAGAUUCAAUUCACUCCUUCUCCAGGGAAUGUUACAAGGCCUACCAAUUGCAAACAAAUAAAAAUCAAUUCCCAGCACCCAAAUCUCAUCAUAUUGAGGUGACAAAAGAUUAGAUCGAGUCCAUGAUUACUGAUUCAACCAAAAGCAUUUCCAAAAACAAUUACCAAACAUUACCAGGGGAAAGAAUUGAACAAAAGCAUGAUCUGAGAGAUGAACAUACUAAAACUAUCAAGCACCACAACAUUUAGGCCAAGAACAUGCAGAUCUGAGAGAUGAGAGAGAGAGAUAAAAAGCAUGGAAGAAAAUAAAACAGAUUUGACUCAAAUCAUUUGAGAGAUAAGAAACAGAGAACAAGGAGAGGGGACGACUGAAAAAAAUGAAGCUUAAGCAAAGGAUCAUGAAACAAGAGGAGCUCAACAACUAAUAAGCAACAAUCAUGGAGCCGAGCUUGAAGAAAAAUAAAAGAGGAGAGAUGAGGGGGAAGGGGGAGCAAAGAAGGAAAAGGGGUGGCGGCUGAAUGUAGAUUUAGGGUUAAAAACUUUUUAUUUAUACCUUUUUUUUUUUUCAAUGGUGGUCUGGUUGAACCAGUUUAGUUCGGUUCAAUCGAUUUCAAACUUUAGAAACCAAAACUAAACCGAACCAGAAUUUUUUUGUGAUUUUUUAAUUAGUUAAUUCAUUUUUUUUUUUCGAUUCAGUUUUUUCAGUUUUUUUUUUCCAGUUUUCUCAGUUUUCUCGGUUUUUUUCUUCUCACCCGUGACAAACAGGCUUUUAACAGCUUCAGGCAGCAAAUUGUAAAUUCAGCCACAAGAAGCAGAAAAGAAGGAAGAAAAUGCAGAAAACCAUGUGAAGGUUACCAGUAACAGGCCAACCACAGAGACCAAACAAAGCACAGCACUAUUCAAGUACAAUAUAGAAUCCUCGGUACCAAGACCUACCAGUCGCGACCAGUUCAUGAAAAUGGAAACGUCUGACAAAAACCUUUUAACUUUUAAGACACAAAAGUGCAGAAGAUAUCUAAAGAUAUACAUCGCCACCGCCGAUCAAGAACCCAAUUCUGCGAACAGCCUUUUGAUGAGAGUAGUGACAUAAAACUACAGAGCUCAAGAAACAUGGAUAAACAUCCAAGAAAUUCAGAACUAAGAAGAACCAAGUCGUUAUUUGUAAAAUAUAUUCCAGUAGCAUCAACCUGCUCGGUUCACUUGCCACCCUUCUUGGCAGCAGAUUUGGUCACCUUGGCACCAGAGGGAUCCUUCUUCUCCACGCUCUUGAUCACACCCACUGCAACGGUCUGGCGCAUGUCCCUCACAGCAAAUCGACCAAGUGGAGGAUACUCUGAGAAAGACUCCACCACCAUGGGCUUGGUGGGAAUCAUCUUAAUCAUACCAGCAUCACCGUUCUUCAGGAACUUGGGCUCCUUCUCCAGUUCCUUACCAGACCGCCUGUCAAUCUUGGUGAGGAUCUCAGCAAACUUCACAGCAAUGUGAGAGGUGUGGCAGUCAAGAACAGGGGCGUAACCGUUUCCGAUCUGCCCAGGAUGGUUCAUGAUGAUAACUUGGGCGGUGAAGUUGGCAGCCUCCCUGGCAGGAUCGUCCUUCGAGUUCGAGGCAACAAAACCACGCUUCAGAUCCUUAACAGCUACAUUCUUAACAUUGAACCCGACAUUGUCACCAGGAAGAGCCUCUUGGAGAGCCUCGUGGUGCAUCUCAGACUUGACUUCAGUAGUCAGUCCAGUUGGACCGAAAGUGAUAACCAUGCCGGGCUUGAUGAAACCAGUUUCAACACGACCCACUGGGACAGUUCCGAUACCACCAAUCUUGUACACGUCCUGAAGUGGCAGACGGAGGGGUUUGUCUGAGGGCCUCUUGGGCUCCUGGAUCUGGUCGAGGGCAUCCAGGAGAGUUGGGCCCUUGUACCAGUCAAGGUUGGUAGAUCUCUCAAUCAUGUUGUCACCCUCAAAUCCAGAGAUGGGGACAAAGGGAAUCUUGUCAGGGUUGUAACCAACCUUCUUCAAGUAGGAUGACACCUCCUUGACAAUUUCAUCAUACCUUGCCUUGGAGUACUUUGGAGUUG
rnacentral:lncRNA from 1 species